ACGGGAGGCAGCAGUGGGGAAUAUUGCACAAUGGGGGAAACCCUGAUGCAGCGACGCCGCGUGAAGGAAGAAGUAUCUCGGUAUGUAAACUUCUAUCAGCAGGGAAGAAAAUGACGGUACCUGACUAAGAAGCACCGGCUAAAUACGUGCCAGCAGCCGCGGUAAUACGUAUGGUGCAAGCGUUAUCCGGAUUUACUGGGUGUAAAGGGAGCGCAGGCGGUACGGCAAGUCUGAUGUGAAAGCCCGGGGCUCAACCCCGGUACUGCAUUGGAAACUGUCGAACUAGAGUGUCGGAGGGGUAAGUGGAAUUCCUAGUGUAGCGGUGAAAUGCGUAGAUAUUAGGAGGAACACCAGUGGCGAAGGCGGCUUACUGGACGAUCACUGACGCUGAGGCUCGAAAGCGUGGGGAGCAAACAGGAUUAGAUACCCUGGUA
rnacentral:rRNA from 1 species